GAUCAAGUUACCGCUCCUCAACUCACUCCUGAGGAGGAAUUGGAGCGUUGUGCCGCCAAGAUUGCAUCCAAGCUCACUACCAAGGGCCAUCUCAUGACGAAUGUGCUUGGAAGCAUCCGAAAGGGGGUAAGCACUCGUAGACAAUUAGCAAACUAUUGUGAACAUCACACGUUUGUCUCUUGUGUUGAACCCCAAAAGGUCUAUGAGGCGCUCGAGGAUCCAGAUGGGCUUAAUGCCAUGCAUGAAGAACUCAACAACUUUGAGCACAAAAAGGUGUGGAGAUUGGUGCCAAGGCCAAUGGGGAAUCAUAAU
rnacentral:rRNA from 1 species